UUACGGCCACAUCAAGUUGAAACAUCGGUUCCCGUACGAUCAUCAAAGUUAAGCAAAGUCAAGCUUGGUCAGUACCUAGAUGGGUGACCGCUUGGGAAUACACCG